UUGUGGAGGAGGACGCCGAAGGUGGGGCUAAUGACUGGGGUGAAGUCGUAACAAGGUAGCCGUACCGGAAGGUGCGGCUGGAUCACCUCCUAACAGGGAGACAACAAAAUGUUUAAUAUUAUUUUGUCACCUUAGGUCGAUCGGUAUCUCACGUUCUUAAUUAAUUAAGAAUUUCAUUUCCUAAGUUUUUCUAGGUCACACCCAUUAUUUUUCCUGGGCCAUUAGCUCAGGUGGUUAGAGCGCACCCCUGAUAAGGGUGAGGUCCCUGGUUCAAGUCCAGGAUGGCCCAUAUCUCUAUGUUGGGGGUAUAGCUCAGUUGGUAGAGCGCCUGCUUUGCAAGCAGGAUGUCAGCGGUUCGAGUCCGCUUACCUCCACUGAUUACCACCUCUUCCAUAAUCUGUAGAAAGGAAACGUUUUGAGUUGUGAUCAAAUUCUGAACGAAUCUAGCUUCCUAAUGAAAUCAUUAAGAUGCUGGACUCAUUGAAUUAAUUUCAUUGUUUUCAGAGAACCUUGACAACUGCAUAGAUUAUUUUUAAAGACAAUAAGCAUCUUUAAUGAUGCAGAUUUAUUAUUUUUGCGAAUGCAUUAAUAACAAUUCUAUUAAGCUGAUGCUUCAAUUAUGAAGUUAUUGGUCAAGCUACAA
rnacentral:misc_RNA from 1 species